rnacentral:rRNA from 1 species
GCUGAAAGCAUCUAAGUGGGAAGCCCACCUCAAGAUGAGUGCUCUCACCACAAUAAGUGGGUAAGGUCACGGGAAGAACACCCGUUUAUAGGCGGUAGGUGGAAGUGCAGCAAUGUAUGUAGCCGAGCCGUGCUAACAGACCGAGGGCUUGACCUC